rnacentral:rRNA from 1 species
AUUGAACGCUGGCGGCAUGCCUAACACAUGCAAGUCGCACGGGGGUAGCGAUACUCUAGUGGCGGACGGGUGAGUAAUGCGUAGGAAUAUGCCCUGCAGUGGGGGACAACUUGGGGAAACCCAAGCUAAUACCGCAUACGCUCGGAAGAGGAAAGCGGGGGAUCGCAAGACCUCGCGCUGUGGGAUGAGCCUACGUCCGAUUAGCUAGUUGGUGGGGUAAAGGCCUACCAAGGCGAUGAUCGGUAGCUGGUCUGAGAGGACGACCAGCCACACUGGGACUGAGACACGGCCCAGACUCAUACGGGAGGCAGCAGUGGGGAAUAUUGGACAAUGGGCGCAAGCCUGAUCCAGCAAUGCCGCGUGGGUGAAGACGGCCUGCGGGUUGUAAAGCCCUUUAGGCGGGGAGGAACGGCGUCGUGUAAACAAUGCGGCGUUCUGACGUUACC